rnacentral:rRNA from 1 species
UGGGGAAUAUUGCACAAUGGGCGCAAGCCUGAUGCAGCCAUGCCGCGUGUAUGAAGAAGGCCUUCGGGUUGUAAAGUACUUUCAGUCGGGAGGAAGGUGUCAAGGUUAAUAACCUUGGCAAUUGACGUUACCGACAGAAGAAGCACCGGCUAACUCCGUGCCAGCAGCCGCGGUAAUACGGAGGGUGCAAGCGUUAAUCGGAAUUACUGGGCGUAAAGCGCACGCAGGCGGUUGAUUGAGUCAGAUGUGCAAUCCCCGGGCUUAACCCGGGAAUUGCAUCUGAUACUGGUCAGCUAGAGUCUUGUAGAGGGGGGUAGAAUUCCAUGUGUAGCGGUGAAAUGCGUAGAGAUGUGGAGGAAUACCGGUGGCGAAGGCGGCCCCCUGGACAAAGACUGACGCUCAGGUGCGAAAGCGUGGGGAGCAAACAGG